CUCCUCAUGUCCCCUGUGGCUUGGGACUGCAGUUCCUGGUUAUUUGACAAGCUCCCGCUGUUGGUGGGGCUGUGCAGCAUUCUGAUCAGAAAGAGAAAAGGCUGUGAUGGUGCUGAGGGCUGUCACAAAGAGAUGCUUUGUCAAGUGAAGUCUGAAAUGUUUCAAGGGAUGACGUUUCCACUACCUUCUUUUGAAGACUCUUGAUAAUCAAAUAGGAACAGCAGAAAAGAUUUUUAUAUUCUUUCUGUAUUUGACCCUCAUUGGCUUCGUGGCAACUGAGUUUCUUGCAUUUUCAGCAAGAAGCUGGAAAUGGAGUUUUAAAACUGCACUGAAGUAGAUGUCUGAUGAAUUUCAGAUGCUUUCGAAGCAGUACCCUAUAUGCUAAGCUUGCAGUUCAGAGAUAACUGGCAGGUCAUAUUCUGUGAUUAGUUAUGAGAAAUCUGCAGAAGUUAUGGUUUGGUUCACUUUCAUUUUAGAUUGCUCAUUAAAAUUUUUAUUGGAUAACUGAAAUGAUUUGUUUCAGAAGGAGUUAAUGAAAUCCCUCCCAGUAAUGUGAUAGGAUAAUUAAGGCUCUCUAUUAUUGUAAUUUAUAUUGCUUUAAAUAUUUUCAACAUGCUUUAAUUUCAUUUCGUGCCAGAGUGCUCUUACUUUCACAGCAGCGACUGGUUUUAUCUUUAAAAGAGCAUGGUAGUGUAGCUUGGAGACCAUCUUUAUUCAGGCAAAAGUCCCAUUCAUUUUAGGUUUAAUCUUUUAUUAUUACUAAUAAUAAUAACAGGUUUUAAUCUCCGUUAGUCCUCAGUGGGAAUACAGAGAUAAAUAUUUGAACAAAUCUCUGUGUUAAAACAUCUGCUCUGUGACUAGCUGUCACCUGAAUGGUGCCAAUGAACCUGACUGAUGUGUGCUUCCAGCCUGCAGUAGGAAAGCAGAAUUCAUAAUAACAUAUUCACAGGCUUUCAGACCAGUACUUUGUUGUCAGAGAAAACAAUUUAUAGCCACCUGGCACUAUACUGGCCUUGUAGCUUAAUUUCCUAGAACUCGGCACUUCAUCGUGUGGCUGAUGCUGCUCUGUAUAUGAGAUCUGGAGCUACCCGUGUUGGCUGGAAUGGGCAAUGCAGAUAAAGAUGCAACGGGGAUAAGAAGGAGCGGCGAAGAGGCGGAAGAAGCUGCUUGCACUCUGCCUACCCUCCUGGUAGUUGAAACUGUGUCUCAAGACACUGCUCUCUUCUAAGUUUUCCAAGUUUGUGCUGAAUGUGUAGCUCAGGUUCUAGAGGCUACAUAAGGAGUCCAUUGCACACUCACCUAUUGCUUCUUUGGGAAGCU